rnacentral:rRNA from 1 species
AGAGUCACUCCUACGGGAGGCAGCAGUAGGGAAUCUUGCGCAAUGGACGAAAGUCUGACGGAGCAACGCCGCGUGAGUGAUGAAGGCUUUCGGGUCGUAAAACUCUGUUGUUAGGGAAGAACAAGUACAAGAGUAACUGCUCGUACCUUGACGGUACCUAACCAGAAAGCCACGGCUAACUACGUGCCAGCAGCCGCGGUAAUACGGAGGGUGCGAGCGUUGUCCGGAAUCACUGGGCGUAAAGGGCUCGUAGGCGGCCAACUAAGUCAGACGUGAAAUCCCUCGGCUUAACCGGGGAACUGCGUCUGAUACUGGAUGGCUUGAGUUUGGGAGAGGGAUGCGGAAUUCCAGGUGUAGCGGUGAAAUGCGUAGAUAUCUGGAGGAACACCGGUGGCGAAGGCGGCCCUCUGGACGGAUACUGACGCUGAGACGCGAAAGCGUGGGGAGCAAACAGGAUUAGAUACCCUGGUAGUCCUAGCCCUAAACUAUGGAUGCUUGGUGUGAUGGGUACCCAAUCCCAUCGUGCCGAAGCUAACGCGAUAAGCAUCCCGCCUGGGGAGUACGGUCGCAAGGCUGAAACUUAAAGGAAUUGACG